CAGGAAAUGACACUGAGGGGGGUUGGACGAGCUGCCCCCGCACUGGGAUAUAGGAUGUGGGACACUGGGACCCCCACACCACGCAAGCUGUAAUUUCACUUUCUGCCUCAGUUUCCCUAUCAGAAAGAAGAAACAUGACCAGCUACAGGGUGAGGUUAUCUGAGUCCUGUAGCACAGAAGGAUGCCCUAUUUUGGGGAGGCACUUUGCACAUCCACGGUGAUCAGAUAAGUAUUGGUAUCAGUUCCUUUUUUCCUCUCUUGUCUCUAAAAACAAAAACCAAAACAGGAGGAAAAA